GCACAGCUGAGGAAUCCCACAAUAAGACGAAACGGCCGUCCAGUGU
rnacentral:hammerhead_ribozyme from 1 species